rnacentral:rRNA from 1 species
AAACUUUCAACAACGGAUCUCUUGGUUCUGGCAUCGAUGAAGAACGCAGCGAAAUGCGAUAAGUAAUGUGAAUUGCAGAAUUCAGUGAAUCAUCGAAUCUUUGAACGCACAUUGCGCCCCUCGGUAUUCCGAGAGGCAUGCCUGUUCGAGCGUCAUUA